GAGAAAUAAGUUGGGUGUUGGACCCAUAAUACUGACUAAUUCUAGUUACCCACUCUUAUUUAUCCCGAAUUUAUCUGAAAUGAAAUUGUGUAAUUAUGACUGAAUUUGUGUAGUGUAAAAUAAAUUUGUAAAAUAAAUUUGAAUCACAAUAUUAUAAUAAACUCGGAAUAGAUAGGGGGUUUAUAGUAUUACUCCAAAAGAAACUAGUAUGUCGUUUUCCCACAUAACGGAGGCACACAAGCUCAAAGAUCACUCCUCUUUGCCCCAAUCUCCAUAGACGAAACAAGGGAAGAACAGACUAGCAAUGGUGUCGAUGAAAGGUUUACAUCCAACCGCAGUGUCUUAAGAGAGACGGUUUUUUAUCUUCUCUAUUUGAAAAAUUUUAGUGUAUUGGACUGAAAAUUUUAGUCUGUUGCACUUACGAUUCCCAUGUUCACUUAUGAUGUGUUUGGUUGGGGGAUUUGAGGAGGGAUUUGGAAAGGGAAAAGGUGUGUGAAACUAGGUGAAAUAUAGGCAUGUUUUAUUCACAUUUCACCUACCUUUUCCAUUUCCCUUUUCAAAUCCCUCUCUAAAUCCCCAACCAAACACAGCAUUAAAGUGUUUUUUUUUUUUUGGUGUGUGUGUUGUUUUUGUGUUCUCAGGGUUGAUGUUGUUGACGUUUCUUGGAAUUUAAGCUCUGUUGAUGCUUACUUGAAAUUUAAGCUUCAAAUCCAUUUGUAUUGGCUCACUUUGGAGAAUUUAACCUCCAACAAGUAAAGCUGAGGCGAAAGAAGAAGAUCAAGAAAGCCCUUCCUUUCACGAAAUGGAAUCUGAUGGGUGGAGGAUUCUCAUCUCUGCGAUGUGGAUGUGUUUCAGUUCCUUGUUCUUUCUCCCAGCCACGCGUCACCAUCUACUUUGAAGUGUUGGACAGUGCUGGAAGAAAGGACUGCUAGAGGAUCCAAAAGCCUUCUUAACAUAAGGAGAAAAGGUUUCAGGUAACGUUCUGCAUACGAAGAUCCUCAUCGCACCCAACCUUGAACUUAUUAUAGUUGGGUGCGACGAACAAUAAAAACACCAUCUUGGAUACCAAACCAUCAAACUUCCUUCCUGCAUAUCCCAUCAACCAACUGCGCGAACGUCAACUCUUGAUGAAGUCAAACAACAACAUUCAUUUGCCCGUAAGUACACAACAACAAAAUAACAACUUCCAUACCCGUAAAAUCAACAAAAACCUUAAUAUCCCCUUACCCCCACUACUAAAAUUUCAGCUUUUUGCGAUGGUAAAAUGCCGUCGCUAAUACUCCUAAUGCCGUCGCAAAAAACU